rnacentral:rRNA from 1 species
GAUGAACGCUAGCGAUAGGCCUAACACAUGCAAGUCGAGGGGCAUCACAUGAAGUAGCAAUACGGAUGGUGGCGACCGGCGCACGGGUGAGUAACACGUAUGCAACCUGCCUUCAACAAGGGGAUAACCCGUUGAAAGACGGACUAAUACCCUAUAACACAGGGGUCCCGCAUGGGAAUAUUUGUUAAAGGACAACCGGUUGAAGAUGGGCAUGCGUUCCAUUAGCUAGUUGGCGGGUAACGGCCCACCAAGGCAACGAUGGAUAGGGGAACUGAGAGGUUUAUCCCCCACACUGGUACUGAGACACGGACCAGACUCCUACGGGAGGCAGCAGUGAGGAAUAUUGGUCAAUGGACGCAAGUCUGAACCAGCCACGUCGCGUGAAGGAAGACGGCCCUACGGGUUGUAAACUUCUUUUAACGGGAUAAAGUGCCCCACGCGUGGGGUUUUGCAUGUACCGUAUGAAUAGGACUCGGCUAACUCCGUGCCAGCAGCCGCGGUAA